GCAUCGCUGUGUUCUUGUUCGAAACCUUCUUCCCUUAGCCAUUGCCUUGGACACGAAAAUUGACAGGAUCCACCGCCAAUCACUCCAACACUCUCCAGCGAACACGAGGAUAUCAGUAUCGUCUUUAGUAAAAGUCGAUAGACGGAGAUCUAUUUGGAUCAACCGCGAUUCUGCGAACCCACAAAGAAUUUCAAUAGAUUUGAGCUUUUCUAGAACCUGUUU
rnacentral:misc_RNA from 1 species